UUGCAAAGGAAUCAUUUGUAUCGAAAAAGAGAAGGGUGAAAGAAAAUAAAGCUAAGUCUAAGAAGCGCCGUCUUGAAAGCUAGAGCAGACUGAGACAAACUGUAAAAGAGUGUUUUCUGUUGUUACUCAAUCAUUAUCUUAUGGCGAUGUGAGUACUCAAACUAUGUACCUAGAUGAGAUGGUGAAGCUUUGUUUUGUAUACUAUAUAAAUUAAAAGAAGAUUUAUAUGUCCAAACAUAAUGCAUGACAGUACAUUGAGUAGACUACGGUAGCUAGAACACUUCCCAAUGUAUACAAAUGUGAAUUCCUAUUGUUUAAUAUAUAAAGUUAA
rnacentral:lncRNA from 1 species